rnacentral:rRNA from 1 species
UGCAAGUCGAACGGACGAGAUUUUGUUACAGAGAAUCAAGUUAGUGGCGGACGGGUGAGUAACGCGUAGGUAACCUGCCUUCGAAAGAGGAAUAACACAGAGAAAUUUGUGCUAAUACCACAUAAUAUUGGGAUACCGCAUGAUAACCCAAUCAAAGGAGAAAUCCGAUCGAAGAUGGACCUGCGUCUGAUUAGCUAGUUGGAGUGGUAACGGCACACCAAGGCGACGAUCAGUAGCCGAACUGAGAGGUUGAUCGGCCACAUUGGGACUGAGACACGGCCCAGACUCCUACGGGAGGCAGCAGUCGGGAAUAUUGCACAAUGGGGGAAACCCUGAUGCAGUGACGCCGCGUAUAGGAAGAAGGUUUUCGGAUUGUAAACUAUUGUCGACAGGGAAGAAAAGGAGACGGUACCUGUGGAGGAAGCCCCGGCUAACUACGUGCCAGCAGCGGC